AGCGAACGCUGGCGGCAGGCUUAACACAUGCAAGUCGAACGAAGUCUUCGGACUUAGUGGCGGACGGGUGAGUAACACGUGGGAACGUGCCUUUAGGUUCGGAAUAACUCAGGGAAACUUGUGCUAAUACCGAAUGUGCCCUUCGGGGGAAAGAUUUAUCGCCUUUAGAGCGGCCCGCGUCUGAUUAGCUAGUUGGUGAGGUAAAGGCCCACCAAGGCUACGAUCAGUAGCUGGUCUGAGAGGAUGACCAGCCACAUUGGGACUGAGACACGGCCCAAACUCCUACGGGAGGCAGCAGUGGGGAAUCUUGCGCAAUGGGCGAAAGCCUGACGCAGCCAUGCCGCGUGGAUGAUGAAGGUCUUAGGAUUGUAAAAUCCUUUCACCGGUGAAGAUAAUGACUGUAGCCGGAGAAGAAGCCCCGGCUAACUUCGUGCCAGCAGCCGCCGUAAGAC
rnacentral:rRNA from 1 species